CUACGCUAUGUUAUUUUUGUUAUGAAUCUCGAUGAUAUCAUAUCUAUUUAAAGAGCAACUAAAUGAUCGUAGAUAAACAGAAAUUCCUUUCAAAUGUUAUCGGAUCGAAAGUGCAUGGAUUUUCUAUACAUCCUAACCCUAAAUUGUGUUUGUUUGUGACAUUUAUUUGAGGUUAUAAUGACAUGGAAUCAUAUUAAAAUCGUCGUUGCAGUAGACAGUAAGAUAUAAUUGAAAAUCUUUUUAAAAAUGGCAGAAGGAGGCUUUGGGUGUACGGAUACAGAGACUGGAAGCGUUUCUAGACCCAACAGUCUGUACAGUCGUCACUCUCAGAAUUAUGUAGAGAGUGUGUCUGUUGAGAUCUGUACUAUAAUGACCCGGUUGGGAUACGGCGAGGAGAUGAGACGGUGGCGCGUUGCGAGGUACAGGGAGUGUGACAGACUGAGAAAUGCAUACCUUAG